rnacentral:rRNA from 1 species
AAUGAACGCUGGCGGCGUGCUUAACACAUGCAAGUCGAGCGGUAAGGCCCUUUCGGGGGUACACGAGCGGCGAACGGGUGAGUAACACGUGGGUGACCUGCCCUCAGCUCUGGGAUAAGCCUGGGAAACUGGGUCUAAUACCGGAUAUGACUCCAUGACGCAUGUUGUGGGGGUGGAAAGCCUUGUGCGGCUGAGGAUGGGCCCGCGGCCUAUCAGCUUGUUGGUGGGGNGAUGGCCUACCAAGGCGACGACGGGUAGCCGGCCUGAGAGGGCGACCGGCCACACUGGGACUGAGACACGGCCCAGACUCCUACGGGA